rnacentral:rRNA from 1 species
GAUGAACGCUGGCGGCGUGCCUAAUACAUGCAAGUCGAGCGAACAGACGAGGAGCUUGCUCCCCUGACGUUAGCGGUGGACGGGUGAGUAACACGUGGAUAACCUACCUAUAAGACUGGGAUAACUUCGGGAAACCGGAGCUAAUACCGGAUAACAUGUUGAACCGCAUGGUUCAACAGUGGAAGACGGUCUUGCUGUCACUUAUAGAUGGAUCCGCGCCGCAUUAGCUAGUUGGUAAGGUAACGGCUUACCAAGGCAACGAUGCGUAGCCGACCUGAGAGGGUGAGCGGCCACACUGGGACAGAGACACGGGCCAGACUCCUACGGGAGGCAGCAGUAGGGAAUCUUCCGCAAUGGGCGAAAGCCUGACGGAGCAACGCCGCGUGAGUGAAGAAGGUCUUCGGAUCGUAAAACUCUGUUGUUAGGGAAGAACAAAUGUGUAAGUAACUAUGCACGUCUUGACGGUACCUAAUCAGAAAGCCACGGCUAACUACGUGCCAGCCGCCGCCGUAA